rnacentral:rRNA from 1 species
GACGAACGCUAGCGGCGUGCUUAACACAUGCAAGUCGAACGGAAAGGCCCUGCUUUUGUGGGGUGCUCGAGUGGCGAACGGGUGAGUAACACGUGAGUAACCUGCCCUUGACUUUGGGAUAACUUCAGGAAACUGGGGCUAAUACCGGAUAGGAGCUCCUGCUGCAUGGUGGGGGUUGGAAAGUUUCGGCGGUUGGGGAUGGACUCGCGGCUUAUCAGCUUGUUGGUGGGGUAGUGGCUUACCAAGGCUUUGACGGGUAGCCGGCCUGAGAGGGUGACCGGCCACAUUGGGACUGAGAUACGGCCCAGACUCCUACGGGAGGCAGCAGUGGGGAAUAUUGCACAAUGGGCGGAAGCCUGAUGCAGCAACGCCGCGUGCGGGAUGACGGCCUUCGGGUUGUAAACCGCUUUCGCCCGUGACGAAGCGUGAGUGACGGUAAUGGGUAAAGAAGCACCGGCUAACUACGUGCCAGCAGCCGCGGUGAUACGUAGGGUGCGAGCGUUGUCCGGAUUUAUUGGGCGUAAAGGGCUCGUAGGUGGUUGAUCGCGUCGGAAGUGUAAUCUUGGGGCUUAACCCUGGGCGUGCUUUCGAUACGGGUUGACUUGAGGAAGGUUAGGGGAGAAUGGAAUUCCUGGUGGAGCGGUGGAAUGCGCAGAUAUCAGGAGGAACACCAGUGGCGAAGGCGGUUCUCUGGGCCUUUCCUGACGCUGAGGAGCGAAAGCGUGGGGAGCGAACAGGCUUAGAUACCCUGGUAGUCCACGCUGUAAACGGUGGGUACUAGGUGUGGGGUCCAUUCCACGGGUUCCGUGCCGUAGCUAACGCUUUAAGUACCCCGCCUGGGGAGUACGGCCGCAAGGCUAAAACUCAAAGGAAUUGACGGGGCCCCGCACAAGCGGCGGAGCAUGCGGAUUAAUUCGAUGCAACGCGUAGAACCUUACCUGGGUUUGACAUGGAUCGGGAGUGCUCAGAGAUGGGUGUGCCUCUUUUGGGGUCGGUUCACAGGUGGUGCAUGGCUGUCGUCAGCUCGUGUCGUGAGAUGUUGGGUUAAGUCCCGCAACGAGCGCAACCCUUGUUCACUGUUGCCAGCACGUUAUGGUGGGGACUCAGUGGAGACCGCCGGGGUCAACUCGGAGGAAGGUGGGGAUGACGUCAAGUCAUCAUGCCCCUUAUGUCCAGGGCUUCACGCAUGCUACAAUGGCUGGUACAGAGAGUGGCGAGCCUGUGAGGGUGAGCGAAUCUCGGAAAGCCGGUCUCAGUUCGGAUUGGGGUCUGCAACUCGACCUCAUGAAGUCGGAGUCGCUAGUAAUCGCAGAUCAGCAACGCUGCGGUGAAUACGUUCCCGGG